rnacentral:lncRNA from 1 species
UGAGAUGGGGUUGGAAUUGAUGUUUUUAUAUGGGUGUUAAAUGAUUUGAACUAUAUAUGUAAUUUAUAUCUAUAAAUAUGUUGGGUAGAACAUGGGUAGAUGAGAUAGUUGAUGUGUGUUGAACGAAUGUGAUCAGAGAAAGGUGAGGAUAUAAUGGUGAUGAUAAUUAGGUGAUGAGAAACAGGUGAUGAUAAUUAGGUGAUGAGAAAUAGGUGAUGAUAGAAAGGUGAUGAUAAUUAGGUAAUGAUAAAUAGGUGAUGUGAGAUGAGAGGAGAUACCAUAACCUUGACCGGCGAUGUGGAAAUUUGGCGAUGUAGUCAUCUACCAGAGUAUAGAUGGCGACCACGGACUAUUCUAGAUGACCCCGUGGAAACACCAGCAGGCUCAUAACCUGUAGGUGAUGAAUUACGAGCCCACGCGAUGUUGUGGCUAUGUAUUCAUGCGAUGAUACUCUAACCCUUACUAUGAAUUACGAGUCCAGGCGAUGUUGUGGCUAUGUAUUCAUGCGAUGAUAGUCUAACCCUUAUUAUGACUUACUAGUCCAGGCGAUGUUGUGACUACGUAUUCAUGCGAUGAUCCUUAGGAAAAAGUCCUUAGGAACAAACAUACAAGGAAAUGUGAUGUAAGGAGAUGAGAGGUAAAUAUGAUGUAGGAGAUGACCCUUAGGAUAAUUCCUUAGGGAAGGUACUUAAGAAAUAAAUGGAGAUAACGGGGAUGGGUAAUUGGGUUGAUUGUUUGAUGAUUGAAUAUAAUAAUUAUAUUAUUGUGGGUUGAAAACCCUAUAUGCUCACCAGGCUCCCAAGCCUGACCCACUCAGUUUAAUUGUAUCACAGGUAUCGAUACGAAGCUGCUUUGCACUGAGAGAUUAAAGGAGAUGUAAAUCAUUAGUGUAAUUGAAUGUAAGUUCUGUUUAUGCUUAUAUGUCUGUAUCGGAACAUGACAUCCCGAGGUUUUAUUAUUAAAUGAAAAUACAUUCUCUUUGAGAAAUGUUUUGAUAAGUUAUUAUCAUAUCUUGUUUUGGGAACAAAUUCCGCAACCGUUUUCUUUAAAAGAUUACUCUGAUUUUAUAAAACAAAGCAUAAACAAAUCGGUCUUUUCUGGCCGUGAAAAUGGGGAUGUCACAGUUGGUAUCAGAGCAUUAGUUUAAGCGAACUAGGAAAUUGUAGGAAAUUUCUAGACUUAAACUUAGAAUGCUAAGUAAUGAUUGGGAGGAGUGUGUCUAAAAUAUGUUAGGUAGUACACCUAAAUUGACACAAGCACUAGUUUAUUUUAGGAGUGAUGCCUAAAAUGCUUUUAUGUGCUAAAUGUUAUAUGUUGCCAUAUAUGAUAUUAUUUGUUCGGAUCUAUGGUCUGUUGCCGACCGGAUCUGGAAACCUUAUGUGUGUAGGAUUCUAAGCGUACGUCUACGAUAUUAGAACUAGCAUGUAAACGUUUCGGAGUGAUAAGGAUGAUUUGAAUAUCUAUCGUGAAUAAGGAUCUAAUUUCACCUUAUUCGGUGUAUAGAUCAAAAAUGACAAGAACCAGGAGUGGAGCUGGAAACGUGAACGAAAAUAGGAAUCAACCACCUGUGGUUGAGCGAGUGGUUGUUGUAGCAGCAACACCUGAACAAAUUACAAUGGCUGGAGUGCGAACCAUGAUUCAAGCCAUGAUGGCUGAACAAAAGGAGGAAAUGAGACAAUUGUUGCUGAACAACAGGAGUGAACCCUCAAUACCAGUUGAACAGCCUGAGCUGAAUGAGGGGCAGUCAGAAGAAGGGAACUAUAGUGGGACCAUUGGUCAAGCCAACCCACCAAUAGUUCGCCGAAACAAUCAGGAUGGAGACAAUGAUGGACGUGGAUGCAAGUACAAGGAUUUCAUGGCAUCCAAACCACCAUGUCUUUCUGGGAGCCCGACACCGGUGCAAGUCAUGGACUGGAUCUCCGAGAUGGAGACAAUGUUUGAAAGUUGCGAGUGUAGCAACAGACAGAAGACCGCUCUUGCAAUCCCUCUGUUAAAAUCUGGAGUACUGAGCUGGUGGAAGUUACUGGCCGGUUCAAUGCCCAAGGGGGAAGCUAGCAAGAUGUCUUGGGAAGAGUUCGUGGAGCAAAUGAAAAUGCAAUACUGCUCUGAGCAGGAUCUUCUGGAAAUCAACAAUGAGUUCCAGAAUUUAAAGAAGGGAAAAUUGAGCGUCACUGAAUACGCUACAAGCUUUACGGAGAAGAUGAAGCUUAUUCCAUACCUAAUUCCAACUGAACUUUCCAAGGUCAACAAGUUUGCCAAUGGAUUACCAGCGGACUUUGGUCCGAUAGUCAAGCAAGCAACCACUCUGAAAGCCGCCAUCUAGGCAGCCAAGAAUGUUGAGACCCAAAUAAGGGAAAAGGGUCUAGAGAGAGUUGAAGUUGGAGGGAAAAGGAAACACGAGGUAUCUUCAAUGAUCAACAAAGAAACCAAACUCUCGAAAUCCGGAGGAAAAGAUGAAACCAAGUGGUGUGAAAAGUGCAAGAAGAAGCACUUCGGAAGAUGCAAUGGACAAGUGACCUGCUAUAAGUGUGGUAGGAUCGGUCACUAUUCUAGAGAUUGUACGUUCGACAAUAGGAAGUGUUACGAAUGUGGAGAUGGUGGUCAUAUUUCGAAGAACUGCCCAAAGAAGGACAAAGCUGCAAAGAAAAAUGUACCGUCACAGCCAAGGGCAUUCCACAUGAUCCUCGACGAAGCGAAUCAAGGAUGAGGAUUUUAUAUCCAACGAUCAAGUUAUGAAGUAACAGUGUGAAUAGUAACUUAUGAUGUAGCCUAUUAGAGGCAUAGUAUAGGGUGAACUUGAACUUUUGUGUAAUAGUUUCAAGAAUUAAUAUAAGCCCUGGUUUUGUUAUCUGGUGUGUUGAAUGAUUAUAUGAUUUAUAUAUGGUACUUGGUUAANAGACAAUACUUGGGACGAGUAUGAGUAGGUGUGAAUGGUAGUAGAGAUCUAUACUACCGGAAGCACAGGAAUCGCACUUCGAUCAGAUAAAGUCGCAAGGUUACCAAGAAGAUAGUAAUUGAUUUCGUUUUAUUCAAGUUUGUCAUUACCCUGUUUCGGUAAUGGCUACUGGGAUGAUGGUUAUUCCGACCCUAGUGGACAUAUUAAAUUGAGUCCGACUACGAUGAGAGGUCAUCGGGACUCGACCCAUCGGUUAGUUAAAAUAGAUAAAUGAAUGUAUUUACCCUAAGAAGAAGAAGGAGUCCACGAUAAGGAUUUAUUUUUGUAACUUUAAGAUUUCGACUGAAAGUCCAAGAUAGUACGAAGAGUAGAUGCAUGAUUGAUUAGGAUGGAGAGAUAACUUAUGGAGUCAGUAUACGAAUCCUAUUUCGUUAAUGAUUCCGAGAUGUAAUCAUCCUAAGGGGGAGAUAAUUAUGACGCCCGUAGAUUCGGGCUAGUCAAUUUAGAGACGAUAGGCGUCAAAACGAAUUUUUGAUGAAAGAUUAUUUAGAAUGAAUAAUCUUAACUAAGUUAUAUUAUAUGUUACAAGGUUUCCGUACAUAUAAAGAACGCCGAAAUCCGAGUUAUAACGAAGAAGUUAUGACCUGUCGAAGUUUCGCGACAGAACCGGCACGACACAGCGCGACGUAAAAAGUGAAUUUACGUUAGAGCGAUAUUUAGCCUUAGCAAUCUAAAUGAAAGUCGUAGAAUACGUUAAACCAUGAGCGUGCAUAAAAAGAACGCCCAAAUCUGACUUCGUAUGAGGAAGUUAUGAUUUUUCGAAGUUUCGACUUAGUAGUGUGCAGCCCGAAUGCUCGAUUUGAGACCGAGCGGUUUUUAGCUGAAACAAUCUAAAUGAGAAUUGAAGAUCUCAUUAAUUGUAGUAAAACGAUAAAAAGAUAGGCGAAAACGGACGUCGGAUGAAGAAGUUAUGAUUUUAUAACAGAGUUUUUCUGUCCCGGCCUACUAAAAAUAAAUAAUAAAAAUAAAUUCACAAUUAGCCAACGGAGUCUAAACGAAAGUUGUAGAUCGUAGUCUCACCUACGCGUGGAUAUAAAGAACGUCGAAAACGGAGUUUGUAUGAGGAAGAUAUGAAUUUUUGAAGUUUAUUUAAUAAUUUCGAUAUUUAAUUUAAAUAAAAAUUGGCCGAUAUUAUCCAUGGGGGGAGUCAGCGACCUUAUCGUCGUUACGCCCCGCAUAAUGAAAUUUACGCCCUGCAUAAAUCGGGCUUCAGCCCCCUAUAAAAGGAAGUCGAGUGCAGCCGAUUCAGUUGCUCAUUUCUUCCCGUUUUCUCGUGUUUUUGCAUCGUUUUUCGUGCAAGAAAUAUCCCGAAGCCCCGGUAUCAUUCCCAAGCCCCGAAGCAAGUCCCGAGGCCCCGAAGAUCCCAAGAAGUGCAAUUCCCGAGCCGAAGCUCUGCCCGCGAGGAGUCCGGUUUUUGUGAAGAUCUUCCAGAUCUACCAAAGAAUACUACUUCUACAAGCCGUAGUGCUGUCCGAUCAUCUUCUGAUCAAGUGAGUGUGUAGUUACUUUCUUCUAACGCAUAAUUAUGAAGUAUUUUAUAUGAAAUACGUGUUAUGCAUAUAUAUAUAUUGUGGUUUAUAUGUGUGAGUGUGCGGUUACUCUCUUCUAAACACAUAAAUAUAAAGCAUUAGCUAUGAAAUACGUGCUAUGUGUUAUAUAUUAGUUGUCUAUAUGAGAUGGGGUUGGAAUUGAUGUUUUUAUAUGGGUGUUAAAUGAUUUGAACUAUAUAUGUAAUUUAUAUCUAUAAAUAUGUUGGGUAGAACAUGGGUAGAUGAGAUAGUUGAUGUGUGUUGAACGAAUGUGAUCAGAGAAAGGUGAGGAUAUAAUGGUGAUGAUAAUUAGGUGAUGAGAAACAGGGGAUGAUAAUUAGGUGAUGAGAAAUAGGUGAUGAUAGAAAGGUGAUGAUAAUUAGGUAAUGAUAAAUAGGUGAUGUGAGAUGAGAGGAGAUACCAUAACCUUGACCGGCGAUGUGGAAAUUUGGCGAUGUAGUCAUCUACCAGAGUAUAGAUGGCGACCACGGACUAUUCUAGAUGACCCCGUGGAAACACCAGCAGGCUCAUAACCUGUAGGUGAUGAAUUACG